UGCGACGUUUUAAAUGAUGAUUGUGUUGAUUUCAUCUACUCUCCAAAAAUUAUGGAUGUUGUGGUGGCAACCCAAGGGUAUGCAGAUCUCAAAAGAACAGGUCCUUCUAUCCUAGUUGAUGCACAAUUGAAGAUUAUGCGGAGGCUUUACGAGACUUAA
rnacentral:rRNA from 1 species